GAGAGCCGUAUACAUUGAGAGGUGUACGUACGGUUCGGGAGGAGGCUAUUGGAAACCUAAUCAUGGAAACAUGACAAGGCGCUGAUAGCCCACCUCAC
rnacentral:ncRNA from 1 species